CUCCAAAUACUCAAAAUGUAGUCAGUAAUGAUGAAUCUAUAUUUGAACUUCUUGGUGCAGAAAACAAUAAGCACUGGCUGAGAGAGAAUCCCACAGAUAUCUGACAAGAACAAUGGGGACAGGAGGAAAAUCCUGGGAAUGUAUCACUCUUGGAAUGAGAAAGUUCCUGGCUCACAGCAGAAGGUGGUGUGCCGCAGCCCAGACCAUCACAGACGCUAACCUCCCAUCGAUGGAUUCUGUUUACAAGCUGCAGGAAGGCUGCAAACUUCAUCAAAGACCCCUCCCAUCCCAGAAAUACUCUCCAAAAACCUCCUCCACCAGGCAGAAGAUACAGCAGCCAGAACACAUGCACCAAGAGGUUCAGGGACAGCUUCUUCCCCACUGUUACUAGGCUGAUGAAUGGACCUCUCUAACCUCAAAUAAUGUUGAUCUUGCUUUACACACCUGUGCAUGUAACCCUGUGUGCCCUACUCUGUCUGAGCAUCCUGUGAUCUGUAUCUCCUUAUUUGUUAUGAUCUGCUUGUACUGCUCACAAAACAAAGUUUUUCACUCUACUUAGGCAUAUGUGACUACGAUAAAUCAAAUCAUCUGUUCUCCAUCCACCAAAAAUUAUCAGUGGAACCUUGCUUUAGUAUCAAAAGUAGGUAUUGUUCCAACUGUAGUGAAAAUAGACUCUCAGUAUUCAACUUUCAACAUUUAACUUUAACAUUUGAAGCUUUCAUGGACAAAGAUGGUUUUAAUGAGGACAUUGCUCAACUAAACUGACACCUGUGAAUACCUGACAAGCUCAGGUAACCAACAUGGAAUGUAUAAAACCAACUGCGUUAGAAUUAUCAUUUUAAACAAGAGGCACUGAAGACUAAUGAGGCACCAAGAUAUUUCCAUCUCUUGUAUUACUCAGACUUACGUAACAGAUGUACUAUUGGAGAUGAAUGGCUCCCUUCAAUUAUUCAGUUUGAAAUUAAACAAAUACACAGAAUCCACAAAGGAAUGAAAUCUCAACAGCUGCCUUUGGUUGAAGAGGAGAGACGAAGGCAAGGUGGAGAGAUAGCAGCAAGGAUACUGGGAUCUCUUAGUUCACUCAAGUCUCUCUCCAUUACAGAAAUCAGCGAUGGUGAAACAGCAGCCUGAAGAAAAAGCAAGACACAUUGAGGAGCCAAGAUCUGCAAACUUUGUCACUGCUAAAGAAAUGGUGCAACUUGUGAACAAUUGGAGUCAGGUCUUUCCAUUCUGGCAACUCAAGGGAGUCUGAAUUGCAUUUACCUUGACCUUCCUUUCUGCAUUAGACA